AUAGGAAAUCGGUGACGUCACAUUCAUCCAAUCAGAUUACGAUAAACAAGAUGAUGCAAUUGUCUUCACCCAAGAAACAAUAUCAACAUGAUGGCUCUUCAGAUAAUCGCCUGAUAUGUUUAUCUAAUUUAAUUACUUAUUGUUUCCUUUUUCCUUUUAAUUGAUUUUACAUUAUUUCGAUCAAUUCCUCAUCUCUUUCGUACUUGGAAUCUUUUGUUUUCUGUCAACAUCCACAAAUGUUAAAGUAUUUUUGUUGAUCAUCGUUUUGUGUUUUUCUUUAACAUAAAUAGUAAUUGGAAAGACUUUUCUUUGGUUUUUUUUUCUUCUCCAGUGAUUUGAUUUUAAUUGUAUUAACAUUUUCAUCUUUGAUUAAGGUUUCUAAUUAUAAACGAUUGAUUGUUUAUUAUUAGUAUUAUCGUUAAUUAUCUUAUGUUUCUUGAGAAAGAAAAUUUUUAAGUUUAAUUUCUUAUUCUGUCUAAAGGGUGUUUCGUUUUUUUGGAACAAGAGAAAAGAUUAAGAUUCUUGAUUGGGUAAUGAUCUUUCUUUAAGAUAAUUUAAUUACUUUCCAGGUGUUACAUUCAGAUGGUUUUUAUUAAGUGUUGGCGAGAAUGCGAAAUUUAGAUAAUCUAAUUGUAACUGGAAAUCAAUCUGAAUCAAUUAGGAGAUGAAAUUAAUUAAAUUACACAAUGGUUUAAGAUAAUUGACUGAUAACAAUCAGUGAUUUUUUGUUUUCCAAUCAAAUCCAUUGGUAAUCAAAGUAUUCUAAGUGUCUAACCAAUUUCAAAUGAAACAUUUGUUAUAUUGGUGAUUCCAUUGUAAUCAAACUUUGAGUUAGUCAUUAAAGUAAAAAGGAUGAAGAUG